GAAUCCCAGACCUUCUCAGGAGAGAACAGUCCUCAGAAAUGCAAAGCUACAUCACUGCUCUGAUUGUGGCUGUUAUUGUCAUGUGUUUAUAACCUUGUGUUCAGUGGAGGUAUUGCUGUUCAGGUGUUUCUUCUCAAGUGCCCAAGGUGUUUUUAUGGUUUUCAGCCUGCCUCUGUACCCCUCCAAUGUCCUGGAUCUCUUCCCUGCAACCCUAAAUCCUGGUUGCACUCUUUGGGCUGAAGUGCUGCUGUGACCAGCACCACACAGCUAUUUUUCACUGUAAGGCAGUUCCUGCUCUGAGACUGAGUUCUCUUUUGUAUGAUCCAAUUCUGGCAUUCCUACAGUUUAUUUUAAUUCAAGUUGAACUAGUACAGGCAUUGACAUGUAGCUUUAAUGACCUCUGUGUUUUCAACAGGGACUGAGUAUCUCAUUCCUGUCAGUGUGACCUGCUCCUGCGUGAGGACACACCAUGGCCAUCAACCCUGUGGGACAGGCUCUGCUCCCACGAGGAUCCCAGGAUAGAAGGACAGGAGCAACCAUCCAUCAAGGCACAUUGUCACCAGCCCGGCAGACAGCAAGCGCCAAGUGUGGACAGGACAAGCUCUCACAAGUCCACAUUUUUCUGUGGAAUUGCCCUGGUUCCUGUUUCACGGGACAGCAGCCUGGCCUCGACUCGACAGAGCAGGACAGGGUAGCUUGAAAGGGGCUGUCGAGGGGAGAACAGCUGAGAGCUACAACGAUCCCAGUGUGUGUAUAAAUAGAGACGGGGCUGUUAUCCUGAUGAAAUGAGACCAGAUGUUUCUCCCAAAUCCCUGCUCUCUGCUCGUGAAAAUUAUAGUUUAGUUACAGCAGGGCGAAGCGGGCAGCAAAAUGUUUUAGACCUACUAAUGUUGGGAAGUCAAAGGGGAAAAAUGCCUCACUGGGGCGGGGGAUACAGUGCCCUGUGAUGCAGGGAUGGAUUGGGCACGGUCACAGUGGGUGAGAGCUGGAGGAGCCCCUCGCUGCCUUUGUUCUAUUUUGCUGCUUCCUAUCCCGGCAUUAACGGGCUGAGUUUAAAGCCCAUGCUGCGACUGCCUUUUGUGAGGUAGAAAUUCAGUGUCAGCACAUGUAUCCUGGAGGCAGUUGGCACGAGAUGAAGGAGGGAUGGCAGCAGCAGUUAAAACUGGGCCUUGGCUCUUUAAUAUUUAACUUUCCCCAGUGCUGUUUUGUUUUUUUUUUUUAAUCAGUUUGUGCAUUAUCUGCCAUCCCCGUUCAAAGAGGGUUUUAGCACAGAGAUUUCAGUGCUUAAUCCCAGGGGCAGGGAAAGCGGAAGAGUCUCUCUGAAGGUUCCAGGGCUCAAUCUGGCCUCAAUUACACCAGCCUAAAUCAGCAAAGAGUGGCCACGACGGACUUUGAUGUGACCGCGUCGGGCUGGAGGUAACAAAAUUAGGAGUAAGUCCCAUAUCUGUCCAGGAGACGCCUCUGGUCCCUAAGGCUCCAUCCAUAGGGAGUUCCCAGGAGGAUAUAAGCAUUGCCUGGCUGGCUCAGAAUAAACGUCCACCUUGGGCAACAACCUGGCUGUGGCCAGCUGCAGAUGCUUAGGAAGGGAUAUCGGAAGAGGGAGACUAUAAAGUGAUCCUUCCUCCGGCAUAUCCUCCUGGCUCCUGGUAAUCAGCAGUUGAGGGUCUUCCUAAGCCGGAGGUUGCAUGAAUUUGUGUAAUCCCUUUUGUUGUCGGUUGUUUUUUUUUUUUUAUUAUUAUUAUUCAUUUAUACUUUUGGCCUCCACGACAUCCUGUGGCAAUAAGUUCCACAAUGUAA